GUAGAGACGGGGUUUCACCAUGUUGGCCAGGCCGGUCUUGAACUACUGACCUCGUGAUCUGCCCGCCUUGGCCUCCCAAAGUGCUAGGAUUACAGGCGUGAGCCACCACGUCCAGCCGGAUUUUUUAUGUGAUAGUCAUCACUGAUGACCAGAUAAGGCCUUGUGCUGCCACACCUAAAAAAUGGCUCCUGCACCCAUGUAAGAAGCAAUCUGCUUUCUCAGCCAUCUUGGCUCACCUGUUCUUUGACUACCCCACCCUGCCUGGGGCUCCAGUACUGAGUGUAUCUACAGUGCUAUGGGGACACCUAGGAGAACUCUAACCAGUCUUGAGAUGGGCUUGCUGUGGGUAAGACAGUGAAAUUCAAGGAAGGAAUAGAAGACGGUGGAGAGAAGAAUAGAAAAACACUCUGGACAGAGAGGAAAGAGCAUGAGUGAGAAAAAGCCUGGGAGCUUUGGGGAAAAUAAAAUAGUUUUGAAGGGGCUGAAGCUAAAGUGUAGACGAGGGGCAAGUAGAGGGAAGAUUAGGAGACGAAUGGACCCUGAUGACGCAAGAGCAGGAGCAGCGCUGUUCUAUGUAUGGCAUGUGGAAAAUGUGAGACUUCCAUUUCAGGGCAAUGGGAAGUUGAGGGAAGAUUUCAAAUAGGAGACUGACGCAAUCACAUCUCUAUUCUAAAGAGAACAAUCUUACUGUAUUUUCAAACCUGAGAUUGGAUCAGACAGAAUCAAGGAUUGAGAAUGUUACAAUACUCUGGGAUCACAUAAGGAAUAAGCACUGCAAAGAUCAGAUUAUUUCCACAUAAUUUCUUAAAGUGAUAAAGCAUAGGUGGUAGCAGUAAUUACAGAACACUCUGCUUUUUAUCAAUGUGAUAAUAGGGAACCUCUUAAACCAGACAUUAAGUAGGAAUCCUGUUAAGGCAGAAAAUAUAUAUAUUUUUCUCUCUAUAUAUAUGUAUAUAUAUGUGUGUUUAUAUAUGUAUACAUAUAUGUGUAUAUAUGUGUGUGUGUGUAUCACUGUGUCACCCACACAGAGAAAGAGAUCUGGGAACUGCCAGUUGCUUCUCAAUAUAGGCAGAACAGAAAGUCAAUUUGAGCAGUGCUUUGUUCUGUGAAGAGGCUUUUCAGUGGUUUCUCUUAAUUGUACAAAUUUGUGCGGCUAAGCAAAGUUACCACUUCACUUCUUAUGCAUUGCUCUGCUCACAGCCUAGACACUAGGAGUCCAAUGGAGUCAAUUCUGAGAGCAGGCCAGGUGAGGUCAAGCUCACACCUGAGUCUCUAACCAGGGGCCUUAGUGUUGUGGAGAAAAGCUGGAUUCACCAGGUACUAUUUAUUGGGAAAAAGUAAUUAAUCACACCUGUGUCAGAGAGCUGUGACGUUGGAACCCAACUGUAUUACCUUGUGUUUGAAAGUGGGAAUGAAGGACUAUUAUCCUUUCCUCUGAAUCUCAAUAAGAACCAGGACUUGAUAGAAAUUCAUGGAGCAGGGUGGAGCUUAGGAAUAAGUGAUGUAUGUCCACCAAAUAAGGGCAAAUAAGGAUUAAAAAGGAUAAAUAGUAGUUAUGAAAGUAAUAAAUGAUGGGACUGUGUUUGUACCUUUGGCCAAUGAACUAGGAUAUGCCAAUUACACAACAGGUUUUUAGCAUCUGAAUUUUGGGAGUCACCCAUUCAUAUUCCAUUUUAUAGUCUCUUGAUUUUAUUUAAGCCUAUAUUCUUUGCUUUAAAUUCUCAUUUUCACCUAAUACACGCUUCAUCCAUUAAAUCCAAUUCAAAUGAAACUUCUUCCAAAAUGCAGGCCUGCGCUUUCAAAAAAUACUCAUUUAAUUUUUCUUCCUCCUUCUCUUCUCCUUUCUCCAUAGACUUUGGAACAUAUUUCUGUUUUAUCAUAAUAUAGUCCUUUCAGUAUCUGCUUUGCUCACAUAUCUAGCCCAGCAACUUGACUAUGCAUUCCCCAAAGGCAGAAAUUAUAUCUUUAUUUACCUUCGUAUUACCAGGACCCAUUACAGCAUCUUGAAUAUAUUAAGAACUCAAUACAUAAUCUCAAAUUAAUGAAUAACCUGCUUAAUAUCCUUUGAACUUUCAUUUUACCUUGUUUCCCUUUUUUUAAAGCUUCAUUAAUUAAAGGCUACAUGUCUACAUGUCUCCACAGCCCAAAUUUAUCGUGUAAACUAGGCUUCACAUUGUAAGUAAGUACAGAGCCUCCUCAUUCAGGUAUUAUUUCAGUGGUAUUAUUCCACACCAGCUUGCAAAAGUCAGUUACCACAUUUUCAGAAAUUCUGUGAGCAGGCUGUUAAGCACAGUCAUUGAAAAUUAAAUUAUAGAAAUACAAAAAAAAUUAAAAACAAAAAUAAUAGAUACUCAAAACUUCCAAAUUAUUUUGCUACAUUUUACCAUUCAUUCACUCAUCUUUUGAGAUUGUUUACAGCUAUAGUAUCCGUAUGGUGGAAAUACUAUACAAUAGUGUACUACUGCACAUCUCUUCUCAACUAUAUGUUUAAUGACAUUAUGUUGGUAGCUUGAAAAAGACGAUAGGGGGAGUAUUUACUCCAUACAUUGGCAAAUGCUACAAAUCAGGCUAUGAUUUAUUGUUUUGUUGACUGACUGUACUUAAAAUGUGACAGGGAAAAUGUUAAUAAUGCAGGUUAAAUUAAAAGUAUGUCGUGUCUAUAGCUGCCAUAUUGGGAAUAGCACAAACAUCAAGAAAAUAUUCUCCUACUAAAAUAUGAUUCCGCAAAGAACUCAUUUACAUCACUGAUGAGUGAGUAAAGUUCUGAUAUGCACCUCCAUUGUUUUAUUAGCUAAUGUAAACAAAAAUAUGAACUGUAUUCUUGGCAGAACUACAUUUAGAGCCAAGUGUUAAACAUUUACCAGAUGCUACUGUCUAUAAAAUUAUUUUUUACAUACAUAGUAUGCAUAUUUUAAUAGCUUUACUGAGAUACAAUUCACAUAGCAUGAAUUUGUACAAUUCCAUGGUUUUCUGUAUAUGCACAGAAUUGUACAAUCAGAACCACAAUCAAUUUUAGGACACUUUUAUCACCCCAAAAAGGAACCCUGUACCAAGUGGCAGCCACUCCCCAUUUUAGCCCCUAGCAACUACGAAUCUACUUCUACUUUCUGUCUCUAUGGACAUCUGGUAUAAAUGUAGUCAUACAAUAUUAUUGCCUUUUAUGUCUGGUUUCUUUUGCUUAGUUUAAUGUUUUCAAGGUUUAUUCAUGUUAUAUAGCAUGUAUCAGUAAUAUCCCAUUGUGUGAAUAUAUCCCAUAUGUUGAUUUUGUUUAUCCAUUCAUCAGCUGAUGAACAUUUGGGUUGUUUCCACUUUUUGGCUAUUGUGAAUACUGCUGCUAAGUUUUUGUGUGGACAUUAUGUUUUCAUUUUUCUUGGGUACAUACCUAGGAGUGAUGUUGCUAGGCCAUAAGAGAAUCUUAUGUUUAAAUAUUUGAAGAAAUAACAAAUUGGUUUUCAAAGUGGCUGUGCCAUUUUACAUUCCUGCCAGCAAUGUAUGAGGGUUCCAGUUUCUCCACAGGCUUGUCAACACUUCUUAGCAUCUGUCGCUUUGAUUAUAGCCAUCCUAGUGAGAGUGAAGUAGGAUCUCUUUGUGGUCCCUAACAUUCAUAUUAAACCAAAAUUUUAUUAUUAAAUAUAGCUAUUUUGCUAAUCACCAGUACUGUUCAAAAUUAUGAAAACAUCAAGAUAAAAAGGCUUCUCAUUGGAUCGUAGCAUGCA
rnacentral:lncRNA from 1 species